rnacentral:rRNA from 1 species
AUGCACGCUGGCGGCGUGCCUAAUACAUGCCAGUCGAGCGAACGGACGAGAAGCUUGCUUCUCUGAUGUUGGCGGCGGACGGGUGAGUAACACGUGGAUAACCUACCUAUAAGACUGGGAUAACUUCGGGAAACCGUAGCUAAUACCGGAUAAUAUUUUGAACCGCAUGGUUCAAAAGUGAAAGACGGUCUUGCUGUCACUUAUAGAUGGAUCCGCGCUGCAUUAGCUAGUUGGUAAGGUAACGGCUUACCAAGGCAACGAUGCAUAGCCGACCUGAGAGGGUGAUCGGCCACACUGGAACUGAGACACGGUCCAGACUCCUACGGGAGGCAGCAGUAGGGAAUCUUCCGCAAUGGGCGAAAGCCUGACGGAGCAACGCCGCGUGAGUGAUGAAGGUCUUCGGAUCGUAAAACUCUGUUAUUAGGGAAGAACAUAUGUGUAAGUAACUGUGCACAUCUUGACGGUACCUAAUCAGAAAGCCACGGCUAACUACGUG